UCUUCACAAAGCCCAGGUCAGCCAGCUCCACGUCGCACAGCUCACAGCGGAAGCAGCCCGGAUGCCAGUUGGCGUUCAUGGCCUUGAUCACGCGGCCGAUGACAAACUCACCUGGGAGAGGAGAGACCUCAGCUACCAGGGCACACUCCCCAGCCGUGGGUAUCCCCCAAGCCCUAUGUACCCAGUGCUCCUCCCGUGUAGCCUGUCUAAGCACCCCUCUUUUAGGGGUCAGAAGAGCAAUGCUCAGGAAGACAGACUGAGGGCAUCAGGAGAAGUCCCCAGGCAAAGGAAUGCCAGUACCACCUGUUACCCCACUUGUCCCCUCCCCACUUGCUAAGUACAGUCAGUCACCAGCUCUUACCACAGAAUCCGCAGCAUGGAGCGAACAGCAUUUGGAAGUCGUGUUCACAGUACUUCCGGCCCUCAAACUGCAAACGGGGGCCACAGAAAAAAGGCACGCAAGUCAUUCAGCACCUCACAAGCUUUUACACCCUAGUAAAUAGCAGGGGUCUGGGGUCCUGAGAAGGGAGGCUUCUAAAGCUAGCUGGAGCAGGGGUCUAGCCCAUGCCACUUAGCAGAGUGCAAAGUCGUGGAGGGUGGGGCGGGUUUCACAGAGAUACUGAGGGUCCGAGGCCAGCUCUUGGGGAUUCUGCUGUCUGCUGAGGGAGAGGGGACCUGUGGGUCCUGACCACAGGCCGAGCUGAGGUGGGAGCGGUGCUGGGGAAGGAAGGGUCAAAUCUUGCGUUCUAUGUGCUACUCCAUUCUUCACAUCUGACCAGCUCAGUUCCCCCAAAGACUACAAAAGACCCACAGAGGGAAGACGGAGGAAAGGAUUCUCAGGGAGGCCCUGGGGAAUUGGGGUGACAAAG
rnacentral:lncRNA from 1 species